rnacentral:rRNA from 1 species
AGCACCGGCUAACUACGUGCCAGCAGCCGCGGUAAUACGUAGGGUGCAAGCGUUAUCCGGAAUUAUUGGGCGUAAAGGGCUCGUAGGCGGUUCGUCGCGUCCGGUGUGAAAGUCCAUCGCUUAACGGUGGAUCCGCGCCGGGUACGGGCGGGCUUGAGUGCGGUAGGGGAGACUGGAAUUCCCGGUGUAACGGUGGAAUGUGUAGAUAUCGGGAAGAACACCAAUGGCGAAGGCAGGUCUCUGGGCCGUCACUGACGCUGAGGAGCGAAAGCGUGGGGAGCGAACAGGAUUAGAUACCCUGGUAGUCCACGCCGUAAACGGUGGAUGCUGGAUGUGGGGACCAUUCCACGGUCUCCGUGUCGGAGCCAACGCGUUAAGCAUCCCGCCUGGGGAGUACGGCCGCAAGGCUAAAACUCAAAGAAAUUGACGGGGGCCCGCACAAGCGGCGGAGCAUGCGGAUUAAUUCGAUGCAACGCGAAGAACCUUACCUGGGCUUGACAUGUUCCCGACAGCCGUAGAGAUACGGUCUCCCUUCGGGGCGGGUUCACAGGUGGUGCAUGGUCGUCGUCAGCUCGUGUCGUGAGAUGUUGGGUUAAGUCCCGCAACGAGCGCAACCCUCGCCCUGUGUUGCCAGCACGUCGUGGUGGGAACUCACGGGGGACCGCCGGGGUCAACUCGGAGGAAGGUGGGGAUGACGUCAGAUCAUCAUGCCCCUUACGUCCAGGGCUUCACGCAUGCUACAAUGGCCGGUACAACGGGAUGCGACCUCGUGAGGGGGAGCGGAUCCCUUAAAACCGGUCUCAGUUCGGAUUGGAGUCUGCAACCCGACUCCAUGAAGGCGGAGUCGCUAGUAAUCGCGGAUCAGCAACGCCGCGGUGAAUGCGUUCCCGGGCCUUGUACACACCGCCCGUCAAGUCAUGAAAGUGGGUAGCACCCGAAGCCGGUGGCCUAACCCCUUGUGGGAUGGAGCCGUCUAAGGUGAGACUCGUGAUUGGGACUAAGUCGUAACAAGGUAGCCGUACCGGAAGGUGCGGCUG